AGAUUGAACGCUGGCGGCAUGCUUUACACAUGCAAGUCGAACGGUAACAGGCCGCAAGGUGCUGACGAGUGGCGAACGGGUGAGUAAUGCAUCGGAACGUGCCCAGUCGUGGGGGAUAACGCAGCGAAAGCUGUGCUAAUACCGCAUACGAUCUAUGGAUGAAAGCGGGGGACCGAAGGCCUCGCGCGAUUGGAGCGGCCGAUGUCAGAUUAGCUAGUUGGUGGGGUAAAGGCCCACCAAGGCGACGAUCUGUAGCUGGUCUGAGAGGACGACCAGCCACACUGGAACUGAGACACGGUCCAGACUCCUACGGGAGGCAGCAGUGGGAAUUUUGGACAAUGGGCGCAAGCCUGAUCCAGCAAUGCCGCGUGACCAGGAAGAAGGCCGUUCGGUUAGUAACGUUGUCGUUUUAGUACGGUAACGAAACGGUUCGUAGGGUUAACUACCGUCGGUACUUAAGUCGUACGGUACCGUAAAG
rnacentral:rRNA from 1 species